rnacentral:tRNA from 1 species
GGGCGAUAUUAGAUUAAUAGGUGGAGCCACCACACUCGAAAUAUGGUGAUAAAUCGGGAGAGUUCGAGUCUUUCAUCGCCCA